GCCAGACUCCUACGGGAGGCAGCAGUGGGGAAUAUUGCACAAUGGGGGAAACCCUGAUGCAGCGACGCCGCGUGAGUGAAGAAGUAUUUCGGUAUGUAAAGCUCUAUCAGCAGGAACGAGACAAGACGGUACCUGACUAAGAAGCCCCGGCUAACUACGUGCCAGCAGCCGCGGUAAUACGUAGGGGGCAAGCGUUAUCCGGAAUCACUGGGUGUAAAGGGAGCGUAGACGGCUGUGCAAGCCUGAAGUGAAAGGCGGGGGCCCAACCCCUGGACUGCUUUGGGAACUGUACGGCUGGAGUGCAGGAGAGGUAAGUGGAAUUCCUAGUGUAGCGGUGAAAUGCGUAGAUAUUAGGAGGAACACCAGUGGCGAAGGCGGCUUACUGGACUGUAACUGACGUUGAGGCUCGAAAGCGUGGGUAUCGAACAGGAUUAGAUACCCCGGUA
rnacentral:rRNA from 1 species